CUUCUACUAAUGCACCAGUUCAUGCAUCUCCAGGGCCUCCCUUCACCCCAUUUGGGACAUGGAUGAGCGAGUGUCAUUCCUUCAGCUGGAGUGUGGAGAUGAAUAAGGCCCAUUUCCGACGUCUGGGAUUUUGACUCUCCAGGCAAGAGGACAGGAAAAAGAUGUUUGGCUUCUAUGAACUAAUUCACUGUCCGGAGCAUCUUGGCAUCUGGCUGCUGCUGAGGAAAGAGGAGGAUGUUUGUGUGUGUGUGUGUGCACAUGCGCCCGUGUGUGCGUAUCUGAGGGAAGCUAAAUAUUACAUUUCAGGGCUUAGUCCUUCCGUACUUUGAAUUUGAUAUGUAAUUAUGAAUAAAUAUGGAAACGUAAAAACAAAAUCA